GAUGAACGCUAGCGACAGGCCUAACACAUGCAAGUCGAGGGGCAGCAUAAAAUUAGCUUGCUAAUUUUGAUGGCGACCGGCGCACGGGUGAGUAACGCGUAUGCAACCUACCCAUAAGAGGGGGAUAACCCGGAGAAACUCGGACUAAUACCGCAUAAUAAUGGUGAUUGGCAUCAAUUACUACUUAAAUAUUUAUAGCUUAUGGAUGGGCAAGCGUCUGAUUAGAUAGUUGGUGAGGUAACGGCUCACCAAGUCUACGAUCAGUAGGGGUUCUGAGAGAAAGGUCCCCCACACUGGUACUGAAACACGGACCAGACUCCUACGGGAGGCAGCAGGGGGGAAGAUUGGUCAAUGGGCGAGAGCCUGAACCAGCCAAGUCGCGUGAAGGAAGACGGCCCUAUGGUUGUAAACUUCUUUUGUAUGAGGGUAAAGGAUAGUACGUGUACUAUUUUGCAAGUAUCAUACGAAUAAGGAUCGGCUAACUCCGUGCCAGCCGCCGCGGUAACAC
rnacentral:rRNA from 1 species